rnacentral:lncRNA from 1 species
UGUUUUUCAAUGUGUGUUUGUAUUGAUAAGGUAAAAGCAUUCUACCUUUCUAUGUUGUCUUCUGGCUGUUGCAUAUCUUAAGGCACCACCAAACACUGCUUUUCAAUUGUGAAAAAUUUACUGAGCAGAUUGAACUAGAAGAAUUAUAGAAAAAUCCAUAUAAUUUAGUGAUUCAUACAAUCUUAGUCCUCUGAAUUGGGACAAUCCUGUACUUCAACUAAUAGGCCUACCUUUUUAUUGCAUCUGACUAGCUUUUCAGAAACAUCUUUCAUAAUCACAGUAGAUUUUGACUGAGAACAAUAAGUUGAAACUAAUCGUUUUAUACUUUACUUAAUGUUUUAGGAAUAUUUUGUUUCGAUUCUAAUCCUUGGGAAGCUUGUCUCCGCUUCAACGAGGUAUUUCUUUAUUUCUAGUUUUUUUUUGUUUAUCUUUAAAACCCAAAAAUGAUCUAAUACACAAAAAUACACAAAAACACAAAAAACAUUAAAACACAAAAAUACACAAAGUUAGAGCUAAUACACAAAUACACAAAUACACAAAUACAUAAAAUACACAAAAAGUUAAAACUUAGAGCUAAUACGCAAAAAAUACACAAAUACACAAAUACACACAAAUAAACCAAAAACACAAAAAAACACAAAAAACGAAAAAACACAAAAAUACAUAAAAUACACAAAAAGUUAAAACUUAGAGCUAAUACGCAAAGUCGGGGAUCAUAAAAAGGGACCAAAAGAACUUAGAACUAAUACGCAAAGUCGGGGAUCAUAAAAAGGGACCGAAAGAACUUAGAGCUAAUACGCAAAGUCGGGGAUCAUAAAAAUGGACCGAAAGAACUUAGAGCUAAUACGCAAAAUCGGGGAUCAUAAAAAGGGACCGAAAGAACUUAGAGCUAAUACCCAAAGUCGGGGAUCAUAAAAAAGGACCGAAAGAACUUAGAGCUAAUACGCAAAGUCGGGGAUCAUAAAAACGGACCGAAAGAACUUAGAGCUAGUACGCAAAGCCGGGGAUCAUAAAAACGGACCGAAAGAACUUAGAGCUGAUACGCAAAGUCGGGGAUCAUAAAAACGGACCGAAAGAACUUAGAUCUAAUACGCAAAGUCGGGGAUCAUAAAAACGGACCAAAAGAAAUUAGAGCUAAUACGCAAAGUCNN